GACGAACGCUGGCGGCGUGCUUAACACAUGCAAGUCGAACGAAGAGCGAUGGAAGCUUGCUUCUAUCAAUCUUAGUGGCGCACGGGUGAGUAACGCGUAAUCAACCUGCCCUUCAGAGGGGGACAACAGUUGGAAACGACUGCUAAUACCGCAUACGAUCUAAUCUCGGCAUCGAGGAAAGAUGAAAGGUGGCCUCUAUUUAUAAGCUAUCACUGAAGGAGGGGAUUGCGUCUGAUUAGCUAGUUGGAGGGGUAACGGCCCACCAAGGCGAUGAUCAGUAGCCGGUCUGAGAGGAUGAACGGCCACAUUGGGACUGAGACACGGCCCAGACUCCUACGGGAGGCAGCAGUGGGGAAUCUUCCGCAAUGGACGAAAGUCUGACGGAGCAACGCCGCGUGAGUGAUGACGGCCUUCGGGUUGUAAAGCUCUGUUAAUCGGGACGAAAGGCCUUCUUGCGAACAGUUAGAAGGAUUGACGGUACCGGAAUAGAAAGCCACGGCUAACUACGUG
rnacentral:rRNA from 1 species